rnacentral:misc_RNA from 1 species
UCUUCGUUGGUGAACCAGCGGAGGGAUCAUUACCGAGUUUUUCUACUCCCAAACCCCUGUGAACUUAUACCUUUUCUGUUGCUUCGGCGGGUUAACGCCCCGGAAGGCCCAAAAAGCCGCCGGAACCAGGCGCCCGCCGGGGGAUCAAAACUCUUGUAUUUCUUACUUUGCGUGUCUGAGUGGAAUCAUAAACAAAUGAAUCAAAACUUUCAACAACGGAUCUCUUGGUUCUG